CCUACGGGAGGCAGCAGUGGGGAAUUUUGGACAAUGGGCGCAAGCCUGAUCCAGCCAUGCCGCGUGCAGGAAGAAGGCCUUCGGGUUGUAAACUGCUUUUGUCAGGGAAGAAAUCCUUUGGGCUAAUACCCCGGAGGGAUGACGGUACCUGAAGAAUAAGCACCGGCUAACUACGUGCCAGCAGCCGCGGUAAU
rnacentral:rRNA from 1 species